CGCUGGCUCUAGGGAAGAGCAGCACCAGGAUUUGAAAGCAAGCCCUGGAACCUGUCCCCUUUCCCUUGAGGGCAAAGGUCACUCCAGGACAGAUUUUAACUGGACAAAGGGAUCAUCUGAAAGGUGAAGGGACUUGCCUCAGGUCACUGAGCCUGUCUGGGACAGGGACUGGCAGCCUCAUCCUCCUACCUGCUCUGACUGGCUUCAGACCCCGAAGAACUAAGGCUCCCAACCUCAGAAUGUGGCAGCCUUGCUUCCUCGGGGCCAGCUGAAGCCCCCGGAUUGUACCUUGGAGCCCUAGGGCUCCAGCUGCUAAGACGGCAGCGGGAAGACAGCCUGACCCGAGAGCCAGCCUUCUUAUCUGCGCCAGAGACCUCACGGUGUCCUGCCACGACCCGUACCCCCAUGGCCUCCAUCCGGGACUGCUGCACAGCUCUGUUCUGAGUCCCCGCCCUGCGAAGGAGCUGGAGGUACAGAGGGAGAAGGAGGAGGAAGCAAGAGAAGGGAGAGC
rnacentral:lncRNA from 1 species